GACGAACGCUGGCGGCGUGCUUAAUACAUGCAAGUCAACUUGACUUUAGAUAGCAAUAUCGAAAAGUAGGGUGGCGCACGGGUGCGUAACGCGUAGGUAAUCUGCCCUGAGGUCUGACAUAACCCGUCGAAAGGCGGGCUAACAUCAGAUGAUAUAUAAUCACGACAUCGUGGAAAUAUCAAAUCUUCGGAGCCUUGGGAUGAGCCUGCGUCUGAUUUAGGUAGUUGGCGGAGUAAUAGCCCACCAAGCCUACGAUCAGUAGCUGGUCUGAGAGGAUGAUCAGCCACACUGGAACUGAGACACGGUCCAGACUCCUACGGGAGCAGCAGUAAGGAAUAUUGCUCAU
rnacentral:rRNA from 1 species